rnacentral:rRNA from 1 species
AUGGAAUUCCUUCUGCAGCUGAUUAGUACUCCUAGAAGAUCCCCUUUGGUUGAGGAGGUGUAUGGGAGUCAUCUCUCCAUGGAUCUGCUGGAUAACAGACGGCGACGUCUUUCAGGAAAAUGGAAGAGCCGCCACCGGCAUCCUUUAGGGCAGACGUGCGGAACUAUCAGAAACAGGCGGGCGUGGAUGGACGACGGGAGAGCUCGGCCUAGUUGUCUGCAAAAUGGAUGCACCCUGGUGGUCAAAGAGUUAGGCCGACUACAUCGAUUUUUCUUGCCAUGGGAAGAGGUGCUUUGUGAUGGGUUCGAUCUUACGGUGCUUGAUCCCAGUGACAGAAGGGAAAAUGACACGUAUGUAUCGUUGCCAUUAAGGAUAACAAGAUGGGGUCUAUUUCUACAUAAAUAG